rfam:Dichanthelium oligosanthes cultivar Kellogg 1175 unplaced genomic scaffold Do_version_2_scaffold28, whole genome shotgun sequence.
GAGGAUGAUGAUAAUCACACUGACGCCCAGUCAUACUCUCCGUGUCGAUGGCGGAUUGUUAUGGUGACUGUCAUUCCAAUUCUGACUC